rnacentral:rRNA from 1 species
GAUGAACGCUGGCGGCGUGCUUAACACAUGCAAGUCGAACGAUGAAGCCCAGCUUGCUGGGUGGAUUAGUGGCGAACGGGUGAGUAACACGUGAGUAACCUGCCCUUAACUCUGGGAUAAGCCUGGUAAACUGGGUCUAAUACCGGAUAGGAGCGUCCACCGCAUGGUGGGUGUUGGAAAGAUUUAUCGGUUUUGGAUGGACUCGCGGCCUAUCAGCUUGGUGGUGAGGUAAUGGCUCACCAAGGCGUCGACGGGUAGCCGGCCUGAGAGGGUGACCGGCCACACUGGGCCUGAGACACGGCCCAGACUCCUACGGGAGGCAGCAGUGGGGAAUAUUGCACAAUGGGCGCAAGCCUGAUGCAGCGACGCCGCGUGAGGGAUGACGGCCUUCGGGUUGUAAACCUCUUUCAGUAGGGAAGAAGCGAAAGUGACGGUACCUGCAGAAGAAGCACCGGCUAACUACGUG